rfam:Stenotrophomonas sp. LM091, complete genome.
UACCAAAACUCUGGAGAGACCGGCGAGUGCCGGCGCCGAAGGGGCACGAAGCACGCCGAUGCGCGCUUCCAAACUCUCAGGCAAAAGGACAGAGGGGCACCC